rnacentral:rRNA from 1 species
UACAGAGGUCCCAAGCGUUGUUCGGAUUCAUUGGGCGUAAAGGGUGCGUAGGUGGUUCGGUAAGUCGGAUGUGAAAUCUCCAGGCUCAACCUGGAGGGGUCAUUCGAUACUGCCGUGACUAGAGUUCGGUAGAGGAGUGUGGAAUUCCUGGUGGAGCGGUGAAAUGCGCAGAGAUCAGGAGGAACACCCGCGGUGUAGACGGCUUUCUGGACCAUCGCUGACGCUGAGACACGAAAGCGUGGGUAGCAAACAGG